AGCGCAACCCUCAUUAUUAGUUGCCAGCAUUAAGUUGGGCGCUCUAGUAAGACUGCCGGUGACAAACCGGAGGAAGGAGGGGAUGACGUCAAAUCAUCAUGCCCCUUAUGACCUGGGCUACACACGUGCUACAAUGGAUGGUACAACGAGUUGCGAGGCCGCGAGGUCAAGCUAAUCUCUUAAAGCCAUUCUCAGUUCGGACUGUAGGCUGCAACUCGCCUACACGAAGUCGGAAUCGCUAGUAAUCGCGGAUCAGCACGCCGCGGUGAAUACGUUCCCGGGCCUUGUACACACCGCCCGUCACGCCAUGAGAGUUUGUAACACCCGAAGCC
rnacentral:rRNA from 1 species